UACCAGCACCCCGAGUGGUCGGGACGUUUGUUGGGCCUAAAGCAUCCGUAGCCGGUUCUACAAGUCUUCCGUUAAAUCCAACUGCUUAACAGGUGGGCUGCGGAAGAUACUAUAGAGCUAGGAGGCGGGAGAGGCAAGCGGUACUCGAUGGGUAGGGGUAAAAUCCGUUGAUCCAUUGAAGACCACCAGUGGCGAAGGCGGCUUGCCAGAACGCGCUCGACGGUGAGGGAUGAAAGCUGGGGGAGCAAACCGG
rnacentral:rRNA from 1 species